rnacentral:rRNA from 1 species
AAUAUUCGACAAUGGGCGAAAGCCUGAUCCAGCCAUGCUGCGUGUGUGAAGAAGGUCUUCGGAUUGUAAAGCACUUUAAGUCGGGAGGAAGGGCAGUAUGUUAAUACCUUGCUGUUUUGUCGUUAUAGACAGAAUAAGCAACAGCUAACUUCGUGCAAGCAUCCGCGGUAAUACGAAGGGCGCAAGCGUUAAUCGGAAUUACUGGGCGUAAAGCGCGCGUAGGUGGUUUGUCAAGUUGGAAGUGAAAGCCCCGGGCUCAACCUGGGAACUGCUUUAAAAACUGCUGAGCUAGAGUACGGUAGAGGGUAGUGGAAUUUCCUGUGUAGCGGUGAAAUGCGUAGAUAUAGGAAGGAACACCAGUGGCGAAGGCGACUACCUGGACUGAUACUGACACUGAGGUGCGAAAGCGUGGGGAGAAAAC